rnacentral:rRNA from 1 species
GAUGAACGCUGGCGGCGUGCCUAAUACAUGCAAGUCGAGCGAACGGACGAGAAGCUUGCUUCUCUGAUGUUAGCGGCGGACGGGUGAGUAACACGUGGAUAACCUACCUAUAAGACUGGGAUAACUUCGGGAAACCGGAGCUAAUACCGGAUAAUAUUUUGAACCGCAUGGUUCAAAAGUGAAAGACGGUCUUGCUGUCACUUAUAGAUGGAUCCGCGCUGCAUUAGCUAGUUGGUAAGGUAACGGCUUACCAAGGCAACGAUGCAUAGCCGACCCGAGAGGGUGAUCGGCCACACUGGAACUGAGACACGGUCCAGACUCCUACGGGAGGCAGCAGUAGGGAAUCUUCCGCAAUGGGCGAAAGCCUGACGGAGCAACGCCGCGUGAGUGAUGAAGGUCUUCGGAUCGUNAAACUCUGUUAUUAGGNAAGAACAUAUGUGUAAGUAACUGUGCACAUCUUGACNGUACCCUAUCAGAAAGCACGGCUAACUACGUGCCAGCAGCCGCGGGUAUACGUAGGUGCAAAGCGUAUCCGGAUUUAUUGGCGUAAAGCGCGCGUAGGCGGUUUUUUAAGUCUGAUGUGAAAGCCCACGGCUCAACCGUGGAGGGUCAUUGGAAACUGGAAAACUUGAGUGCAGAAGAGGAAAGUGGAAUUCCAUGUGUAGCGGUGAAAUGCGCAGAGAUAUGGAGGAACACCAGUGGCGAAGGCGACUUUCUGGUCUGUAACUGACGCUGAUGUGCGAAAGCGUGGGGAUCAAACAGGAUUAGAUACCCUGGUAGUCCACGCCGUAAACGAUGAGUGCUAAGUGUUAGGGGGUUUCCGCCCCUUAGUGCUGCAGCUAACGCAUUAAGCACUCCGCCUGGGGAGUACGACCGCAAGGUUGAAACUCGAAGGAAUUGACGGGGACCCGCACAAGCGGUGGAGCAUGUGGUUUAAUUCGAAGCAACGCGAAGAACCUUACCAAAUCUUGACAUCCUUUGACAACUCUAGAGAUAGAGCCUUCCCCUUCGGGGGACAAAGUGACAGGUGGUGCAUGGUUGUCGUCAGCUCGUGUCGUGAGAUGUUGGGUUAAGUCCCGCAACGAGCGCAACCCUUAAGCUUAGUUGCCAUCAUUAAGUUGGGCACUCUAAGUUGACUGCCGGUGACAAACCGGAGGAAGGUGGGGAUGACGUCAAAUCAUCAUGCCCCUUAUGAUUUGGGCUACACACGUGCUACAAUGGACAAUACAAAGGGCAGCGAAACCGCGAGGUCAAGCAAAUCCCAUAAAGUUGUUCUCAGUUCGGAUUGUAGUCUGCAACUCGACUACAUGAAGCUGGAAUCGCUAGUAAUCGUAGAUCAGCAUGCUACGGUGAAUACGUUCCCGGGUCU